rnacentral:rRNA from 1 species
CACACAGUAAACGAUGAAUACUCGCUGUUUGCGAUAUACAGUAAGCGGCCAAGCGAAAGCAUUAAGUAUUCCACCUGGGGAGUACGCCGGCAACGGUGAAACUCAAAGGAAUUGACGGGGGCCCGCACAAGCGGCGGAGCAUGCGGAUUAAUUCGAUGCAACGCGAAGAACCUUACCAAGGCUUGACAUAUAGAGGAAACGGCCAGAGAUGGUCGCCCCGCAAGGUCUCUAUACAGGUGG